GCGACAGGGACAUGGGCGGGCUGGGUCCCCAGCUCUCCCCGCUCCGCCCGGGCUGAGGGGCGGCCCCGCGGCCCCAGCCACGCCUUGAGGUGGUCCCUCAAACUAAGCUGUUUCGCCCGAAACCCGCCGCAUCUCUGAGGGGAAGCAGCGGGGCACGCUGAGGUGUUUCCAGCUCCUCCGAUAGGAUCCGCCUCAGCCGAUGACACCCCGUGGGAAGUGCUGGGUCCCUGCAGCCCCCUGGGCGCGAGGUGCCAACCGCAGCCCGCCCUUGAAUUGAGGGGUGCGGGUUUGGCCGCUGUGGCUGCAGGGAGAGGUGGGUUCCCCCCGUGCGGUGUCCGGGAGCCUGUCCCUGGAGAGCUGCCCAGGUCUAAUGAAGAAAAAAUAAAAGCAGGGCAUGUCGGAAGCACGCUGGUCCUCUCGUGCAAAUCCAGCGUGGGCAUUAUCAGUUUGAGGACUUCGACAUAUGCUUGCAGUAUAUGGAUAAAGAAAAGGUAUGAAGAUAUUUAUCAAGUCCUGCACUCUUUCAGGUUCUUUGCUAGGUCUAAGUGAGUUGACUCUGUUCCACUGUAGAUUUCAGUUGCUGAAAACAAAAAUCAGUGUUCUUAUUCUGAACAUGAAGAAACUUACAGCUGUACUGCAUCAGGUGGAGCUGCAGGGGAUGACUGGGACAGUUUCUUCUCCUUUCCUUUCUUAUUCCUGGUGACAGCAGUUUACUAUGGCUUGCAACAUAUUUUUUUUUUUCCUAUGUUCUGUCUGCAUGUUUAAAUUGAAGUUUGCAGCCGAUUAUUAUCUGUAUUUUCCAAGUGAAGGUGUAAGCAAUGUAUUACAAGAGUAAGUUUCUUAUUCCCUGUUACUGCCAUGAGUGAGUAGAAACUUGGCCUGACCUGGUGGUUCCUAGUCCUCAGUAAAGUGCCAGUCAAUUUUCAGAUCUGAUAACUGUAACUCUCACCGAUAGCCUCACUUUUCAUCAGCAAAUGAAAUUAUUUUAAUACUGCAGUGAAUUGGAAGCAUUCUAAAAUAAUCAAACCAGACACUUCAAACAGCACAGAAUCCCACAAGGGUUUCAUCCAGAAGUAUUUUGAACCUUCUGGGGAAGUAGGCUUCUUCAAAAGCCGUUUUUGUUGUAUAUGACACCUGUCAAAAGGAUUUAUGCCUGCUUUUGGAGUCAAUAUUUCUGUAAUUAGUUUUUAAACUCAAUAAAAGGUGAAUUAUUUCCAUCUGAAUAUGGUAUUAUCUACAGCAGAAGUGUAUAGAUUUUUAAGCAAAGAAACACUUUUUCUAGACUCUGAUUACAAAGCAGUUUAAUUUGAAGUGACUUCAGUGCCACACAUCACUGGGGCAGUAUAUUCCUGCACUUCAUCUGUGCUGAGCACUACUUUAUUUGAUCAUAAUGAGUCAGCUUAGAGAGCCAAGAUGGCAGAAGACUUACUAAAGCAAGUACUGAAAGGAUCAGUACAGAGCAAAGGCGAAUACAAGACACGAGAGUAGAGACAUGGCAGCAAGUAGUUAGACCAGCUUGGGUUGCCAUGACCUGAGUCACAUUUCACAGACCUCAGAAACAAAUCAUGUAUUUCCAGCACCAUUACAAUAAAAUUCAGUUGUCUGCUGUAUCUCAGAUCACUGCACAAGGGCUGUCUCCUUCCAAGAGAUUCCCGGGUUGGCACACUCAGUUCGAGGUAAAUUAAUUUCACUUACUUGAAAACAAGUAGCAUAUUUUAAGUAUUGUUACUAAAUACAAACUAAUUAUCAAUAAUGCCAGGUGAUUUUUCUGUCUUUAUUUCUUUCUCUUUAUUUUUUAAAAAGGCGUCAUGGUUUAUCAGACAACAUAUUCCUUAAUUGACUUCCCCCCCCCCCCCGGCUUUAGAAAAUAAGCAAUUUGAACUUUACACUAAUUUCAUGUGCUUAACAUACUUAAUGUGGGUGCAUAGUAAUAUGGCAACACUAUCCUCUAGUGGCAGUUUUGUGUUAACACAAAUCUCGAUCUACAUCAGCGUGAAUUGGUUUAUGUGUGUUCAAAAGAUGGUAUGUUGGCCACAAUAUUAUUUAUAAAUUCAGAGUUCUGUUUUACAUAACAAGGAAUAAUUAAAUAAUUUCUACAUACAGUGUGAUGAUAAUACAUGCUUCAACACCAGCAUCAGCUGCACUAUAUAUAUUUUUAUGUGACUAUAAACCAGACUGUAUACAUGAUUACUUGUGACUUUGCAGACUAUCAAACUUACGUAGCUGUAUUCUGCUAUGGUAGUUUUUUCAUAGAUACGUCGUUUAACAUGGUAGGAUCACUAGUUGGUUUUUGGUCUACUCUUGAAUUCUGGCAUUAAAGUCUAAUUCUCUUGGUAAGAGUGUCUCUAGACACUGGUAUCCACAAGCACAUGAAAUAUCCUUAAUUUUUUUUUCAGUUUGCAGUUUCAAAAAUCCAGUAUAUAGCUUAAAGGAGAAAUAAGGAAAGGCAAAAAAAAAAAAAAGAGAGAACAAACUGAGAUUUCAAUGCAUCACUUUUUCAAAAUUACCCACUAAACAGAUCAGUCUAGAUUGAAGGUGUAGUUGCUCACUGUGAAGAUCAAUGUUACAAAAAAUGACAUGAUUUCUCACUCAUCCCCUAAAAAUGUUUCUGCUCUGGAAGUUUGGAAAUCUAUCUAUGUAAAAAAUACAAUGAGACUAAUCAUAUUUUAGGAGAUGGGAUUGUACCUUAUAAAUGAUACCACUUAAUGCACCAUAAAACAUAAUCAGUGGAUACUAAAGAGGUUAUACUGACAUUGAUGCAUAUUACAGAAUUCAUAAAAGUUACUUGCACUUUAUAAACUUCCUUUAAUUCACAAGUGUAUUUGUUGCUAUUGUGCCAAGUUGUUUUUCUGAUAUCUGUACAAAGAAUUCAAGGUAAAUGUUUUCUUCAUUUCAUGUGAAUUGUUAAUUAAAAACCAAAAGCAAAAAUAAAAACAUAAAAAUGCA